GACGAACGCUGGCGGCGUGCUUAACACAUGCAAGUCGUACGGUAAGGCCCUUUCGGGGGUCCACGAGUGGCGAACGGGUGAGUAACACGUGAGUAACCUGCCCACAACUUUGGGAUAACGCUAGGAAACUGGUGCUAAUACUGGAUAUGUGCUCCUGCUGCAUGGUGGGGGUUGGAAAGCUCCGGCGGUUGUGGAUGGACUCGCGGCCUAUCAGCUUGUUGGUGGGGUAGUGGCCUACCAAGGCGGCGACGGGUAGCCGGCCUGAGAGGGUGACCGGCCACAUUGGGACUGAGAUACGGCCCAGACUCCUACGGGAGGCAGCAGUGGGGAAUAUUGCAUAAUGGGCGCAAGCCUGAUGCAGCAACGCCGCGGGCGGGAUGACGGCCUUCGGGUUGUAAACCGCUUUCAGCAGGGACGAAGCUUUUUGUGACGGUACCUGCAGAAGAAGCACCGGCUAACUACGUG
rnacentral:rRNA from 1 species